rnacentral:rRNA from 1 species
UACGUAGGCAGCAAGCGUUGUCCGGAAUUAUUGGGCGUAAAGGGCUCGUAGGCGGUUUGUCGCGUCGGGAGUGAAAACUCAGGGCUUAACCCUGAGCCUGCUUCCGAUACGGGCAGACUAGAGGUAUGCAGGGGAGAACGGAAUUCCUGGUGUAGCGGUGAAAUGCGCAGAUAUCAGGAGGAACACCGGUGGCGAAGGCGGUUCUCUGGGACGGUACUGACGCUGAGACGCGAAAGCGUGGGGAGCGAACAGG